GUUGAGCCCAUUAAUGCACAUUGAGAGCCAUGGUAGACUAGAUGGUGCUGGGAGCUGAGACAGCAAAAAUUAAGAAGAUUCAGUCCUGAAUCUUCUAUCAGCUCUUAGUGAUAACAUUUUCAGCACACAGUGAUGACGAAGGUCAUUCAGAGGCUGUGUGAGAGCACACUGACCAUCGGCCGUAGCUACAGACCACACGAGUAACUAAGCCCCACAUCUAUUUUUCCUGUAACAAACACCUUGUCCCUUUCUUCUUAAUCCCGUUGGAAACCAUUUCGAAUGGCCUGUGAAACUCCACCACACUGCUGGAGGGGAGGCAACUAAUCAGUCGGAACCAGAAUUGGAGAUGGGAAAGGACCAACAAUUGAACUGGAUUUGAAUCCAUCAAUGUCUGCCUUAUGACUGAUGCUGCCAGUGUUUUCCUAUUAGGACAGGCUCAAACUGAUAAAGGGACAGACCAGUCCUAUCAAAUUAUACUGAUAAAAAAUAAUUCACAUGGUAAAAUUAUGACGGUGGCAAUCAUAAGUGCCUCCCAAGUAGCUGCAAUGUGGAUGGACUUCCAGCUAGAGAACUUCAAAAAUGUAUUACUGUGUCAGAGAAGUCCAAUUAACGGCUGAAAGAUUCAUUUGUAAACAGAAAAAUCUGCAUUUGGGCUACCAAGACGGCUCAGCACAAGAAGAUCCCUGCUGCUGAAUCUGACAGAGAAGUUCUUGAGUUUGGUCCCCAAGUCCCAUAUGGUGGCAAAAAGAGAAUAGGCUCCUGCAAUUGUCCUCUGACCUCCAUACUUGCACCAUGGCAUGUGCUCUCACGGGUGACACACAUCACACACACACACACACACACACACACCAAAUAGAAUGAAAACCUUAAAAAAUAAAUAAAUAAAACUUCCGUUCAA